AUUAUUUACAAAAAAGUAUUAAAAAUGAUAUAAACAAUAUUUAAAAAUUAGUUGCCUACUACUAUGCCAACUUAAAUACUUUUCUAUCUUCUCUAGCAUCAAACAUUUGAAUACCUUGGCAGAUGCUGCUGAAACCAGUGUGAGAACCUCAAGCCAGACUGGAUCACCUCAUGCUUACUUCACGGAGCAGAAAGCUGGCGCCCAUCACCUGGUUCAGAGUUUCUUUCUCUACUUCUCUCAUCCCUGAGGGCCACGAACCUGCACACUUCACUCUCUAACAAUUUGUAGCCCGGGAUUUCUUUUCAGAAGGUGAAAGGAUCCCAUGGGUGGGCCCCAAAUCCAAUAGCAAGUGUCGUAUAAGAGACACACAGAGGAC
rnacentral:lncRNA from 1 species